CGUCUCCAUCCUCUUCUGAUUUUUUUUCCCGAUUUUCGUCCACGUCGAAUUGUUCUUCUUUAAUUUCUUCUUGUUAUUAUUGAUGUUCUUCCUCCCUUGUUCUUCUGUCUCUUCCUUCGUAUUCUUUUUUCUGCUUUCGUCCCUUUCGUCUCCAUUCCUUCUGAUUAUUUCCCUUUUUAACGUUUGCCGCUAAAAAGACAAAAGCGUAAUUUUAAACGCAUCAGCGCCUCAGUUUUUGCCUGUUUGAAAAGCCUUAAUUUAUGAGAAGUAGCUGAGAUUUUCAUGGACUGUUUUGUGGUCCCAGUGAUAGUUUUGCACAGCUUCUGAUUGAUUGAUUGAUUGAUUGAUAGUUUUUUGUUGCAAGUAAACAACAAAGGAGAAGGGAGGAGCAUGCCAUCCCAACCCCCAGGCAGUACAGAGUGUGAUUAUACAACUAAGGAUACAUGUGGAAGUAGCACCAGGAAACUAAAAAGAUACAAAUGGAAGGGCACCCUGAACAGAGAAAAUCACCCAUGAAAACCCGGUUGAUCUUCUCUGUGUCAUUGAAAAAUAGACGUGAUUGGAGCCAACAAAGAGUAAGCUGUGUGAAGGCAGGCAGCCACGCACACAGCUGCAUCCUGUCCCAGAACUCGAAACCGAAGGAAAUUACCCAAGAGGCGCGCUUUAUAUAGACUCACUAUCGAGUCAUCCUAUCCAGUGGCUGCUGUACCUUCGUCCUGCUGGGAGUGGUCGCUGCUCGCUUGAAGUUUGGGGAGGAAGACCACGACUUGCUCCGACGAUACGAGAACGAAUACUCCAGCAGUCGUUAGAACCUCAACACUCAAGACACAACACUCUUCAUCUGCACACACGCACACACACGGCUUCAGGGGCGUCAGGCUCGUGGCGGAGGGCGAUGGCUGGCAGCACGACGCCUGGUUCACGCCGGACAACACUUGCAUCCCUCGGAACGCAGAGUGGUGAGGGAUAACACCCAUUGCCCCCACCACUCUGCGUCCCGACGGAAGCAAGUGUCGACAACGAACGAUGACAACAACAAUGAGUACGACCUUUGGCCUAAAGUAUGGGCUGGUGAUUGUGCCUUUAAUUGACGUGAAGCUUACUGUUGCGGCUCACGGGCCCUCAAGGUGGAGAUUAGAGAACCCGAGGCCAUGCACUGUAGAAGGAUACACAAACAAAAACUGCAUCCUUAGUUGUAUAAUCACACUCUGUACUGCCUGGGGGUUGGGAUGGCAUGCUCCUCCCUUCUCCUUAGUUGUUUACUUGCAACAAUAAACUAUCAAUCAAUCAA